GACGAACCGUGCGAACGUUGUUCGGAAUCACUGGGCUUAAAGGGCGCGUAGGCGGGCAGGCAAGUCAGGGGUGAAAUCCCACGGCUCAACCGUGGAAGUGCCUUUGAUACUGCCGGUCUUGAGGGAGGUAGGGGCGUGCGGAACUUCCGGUGGAGCGGUGAAAUGCGUAGAUAUCGGAAGGAACACCAGUGGCGAAAGCGGCUUCCUGGUCCAGCACCGACGUCAGGCACGAAAGCGUGGGGAGCAAACAGG
rnacentral:rRNA from 1 species